UUAAGAAAUAUCCUGUAGUACUGCAUUUUAUUAUUUUGUACAAAGUGUGCAAAACAAGACAUGGUGUCAGACUAAAAGGUCUUAAAAGAUGGAUUUUUCUGGAGUUCCUUCACCUCGAAUGGACUGGGAGUCUACAAACUUAUCUGAUGCAUGGCGUAAGUUCAAACAGCAUGUGGAGCUGAUGUUCACGGGUCCUCUGAGGGACAAAUGAGAAGAGGGAAAGUGCAGCUACCUGCUCCUCUGGAUCGGUGAAAAGGGGAGAGAUAUUUACAACACAUGGACACUUACCGAGGCUGAAUCAAAGGUACUGAAAACAUACUACGAUCGUUUUGAAGCAUAUGUUGUGCCGAAGACCAAUACGAUUUUCGCUAGGUACAAAUUCCAUGAGAAAGUACAGGGAGCUAGCGAGUCUUUUGAACAGUUUGUGACAGAACUGCGUCUGCUUGUGAAAGACUGUGAUUAUGCAAACAAGGACGAGAUGGUCAAGGACCGUAUUGUAUUUGGAAACUUUUGAAUGUUGGGUCUGAGGUAACGUUGGACAAAGCUAUCGACAUAGCCAGAUCUCACGAGCUAGCACAGGCAAGCUCCGAGUAUGUCUCGACCCAAGAGACUUGAACAAGGCUAUGCCCCCAUUAUCCUUUACCGACGCUAGAUGGCAUCACACACAAGCUAGCGGGAGCACACUACUUCAGUGUCAUGGACGCUAGAUCAGGCUACUGGGCUAUCAAGCUCACAGAAGAGUAAUCUAAGAUCACAACAUUCAACACACCGUUUGGACGCUACAGGUUCCGUCGCUUGCCUUUUGGGAUUAUCUCAGCCCAAGACGAGUUUCAGCGAAAGAUUGACGAAGCACAGUGUCCAGUGCCCAUGGAAGGACACAGUGCCCAUGGAAGGAAAGUUGUGCCGGUGAAUCUCUUAUUUAGAAACAUUUAAAAAAAAAUUGGUUUCCCCCAUUUUUGUUUAAUUUGCUAUUUUUUUAAAAAUGAAGUAACAUUCAAAUUGGACACAAUACAUGAGUCCAUAAAUACACAACUUGAAGCAACCACAUAUUUAGCCAUGGAGCAGUGAGUGAGACAGACAGAACAACAUGGAGGCCAACGAAAUGGCUAGAGCAGAGGAUCAGUUAUAGUGGGAGCUUUGAUGAGACACAAGAAAUGCACGAAGUGUGCUGUUACUCGUCUUCCUCGUGACGUGCUUCAUCCUCAGUCUGCUGGUGGACGUUGGGUUCUUUGUGGUCAAGUUGAGGAGGGCUCGCAUCCCCUGGAGAAAAGAAAGAGGUGAUUGCGCACACCUGCGCCGCUUCCCUUUUAAAUGGGGAGCUCUGGGCGCGAGCCAUAUCAGGGAGAGGUGGACUCCAAGCUGCGGUGCCAGUGCACAGGUGAUUUUACAGUAUUGUUGUUGAGUGUAUUGUUAGGUUUAUUAAAGUAAGAGCAAAACUGGUUUGUGUUUAGAUGUGGCAUCUUGGAGCAAUGCCAGGUAGUGCACAACAUUUCAUUGUUUGUAUUUGUUAUUUUGAAAGGGGGAAACUUGAUAUUCUAUAAUGGACUCAGGCCUCCCUUAUGACUAGUUGUACUUGUUGUAGUUAACUUGGUAGCUUGGUGUGGCCUAUUACUGUUUGCUGUGCUGCUCUUUAGUUACCUUUGUGACGUUAUCAUCUUGUGCCUUUCACUACAGUAUAUCUUAAACAGAGUGCUGUGUCCUACAACCUAAGUGCAAUAAUUGUCUACUGUAACCUAGAAUAUAUUAUGAACAUCGGAAGGUCUCAUGCUUACCCCUGCUUGAAUUAUUGAAAUUGUAAUGACACUGUAGUAAACAAUAUAUUUUUGUAAUACAUUGUUGCGUGACCUGUUUACUUACCAUGUACCCAGUUGAAGUCUUUAUCCACUCUGGCCUAUCUGAAAACAAUCUGUUUGUUACACUAUCAAGUUUUUACUUCUAUAUCCUACUGUGAGGUGAAGGAUGUAAAUCUUGCAUCAAAAUUGGGCAUAUAACUUUCGUGUCUGUAAGUUUAGCAACCGAACAAAAAAUCCAGUCAACUUGUAUUUGCAUUUGACCCUUUAACAAAUGCAUUUGUCCAAAUACAGUUUGCUUAAACUCUGCCCAAAAUUCCCAACAGCAAACCACUGGUCAUAGUGACAAUGUAAAUGUUUUGCAUCAU